CUUGGUCAUUUAGAGGAAGUAAAAGUCGUAACAAGGUUUCCGUAGGUGAACCUGCGGAAGGAUCAUUCAUAAUAAGUGUUUUAUGGCACUUUUUAAAUCCAUAUCCACCUUGUGUGCAAUGUCAGUCGAUCUUCUUCAUGGAGAUCGGCCAAACAUCAACCUUAUUUUUUAACUCUUUGUCUGAAAAAUAUUAUGAAUAAACAAUUCAAAAUACAACUUUCAACAACGGAUCUCUUGGCUCUCGCAUCGAUGAAGAACGCAGCGAAAUGCGAUACGUAAUGUGAAUUGCAGAAUUCAGUGAAUCAUCGAAUCUUUGAACGCAUAUUGCGCUCUUUGGUAUUCCGAAGAGCAUGCUUGUUUGAGUAUCAGUAACCACCUCAAAGCUUUUGGAUUUUUUUUGAAAGCUUUGGACUUGAGCAAUCCCAACGCCAAUCUUUUUCAGAUCGGCGGCGGGUUGCUUGAAAUGCAGGUGCAGCUGGACUUUCUCCUGAGCUAAAAGCAUAUUCAUUUAGUCCCGUCAAACGGAUUAUUACUUUUGCUGCAGCUAACAUAAAGGGAGUUUGACCGUAUUGGCUGACUGAUGCAGGAUUUUACAAGGGUCGGCAACGAUUCUUGUUAAACUCGAUCUCAAAUCAAGUAAGACUACCCGCUGAACUUAAGCAUAUCAAUAAGCGGAGGA
rnacentral:rRNA from 1 species